UACGUAGGGACCAAGCGCUGUUCGGAUUUACUGGGCGUAAAGGGCGCGUAGGCGGCAAUUCAAGUCAGCUGUGAAAUCUCCGAGCUUAACUCGGAACGGUCAGCUGAUACUGUUUUGCUAGAGUGCAGAAAGGGCAACCGGAAUUCUUGGUGUAGCGGUGAAGUGCGUAGAUAUCAAGAGGAACACCUGAGGCGAAGGCGGGUUGCUAGGCUGACACUGACGCUGAGGCGCGAAAGCUAGGGUAGCAAACGGG
rnacentral:rRNA from 1 species